GAGUGAGCUGUCCGGGAGGGGGAGGCCCCCUAUCUCCAUGCGCCUGUCGCCCGACCAGGCUGGAGGCUGGCAGCCGUGGUGCCGAGCCCAGCGCAAGGCAGACGCGCGGCCCGGACAGCUGACAGAGGACGGAUGGACAGAGAGGGCCGAGGGAGAGGCGAACUGAGUUUGAUCCUUCACCGGCUACAACAAGUCCAGAGACCAGAGACAAAAUCCUGCGGAGUGCCUGCCUUUGCUGAUUGAUACAAUAACCCAGCUCGGCUUCUCCACCGCCCGCCCCC